UCUCCGUUGGUGAACCAGCGGAGGGAUCAUUACCGAGUUUACAACUCCCAAACCCCUGUGAACAUACCUAUACGUUGCCUCGGCGGAUCAGCCCGCGCCCUGUAAAACGGGACGGCCCGCCCGAGGACCCUAAACUCUGUUUUUAGUGGAACUUCUGAGUAAAACAAACAAAUAAAUCAAAACUUUCAACAACGGAUCUCUUGGUUCUGGCAUCGAUGAAGAACGCAGC
rnacentral:misc_RNA from 1 species